AUCAUUUCUCGGCCUUUUGGCUAAGAACAAGUGUAGUAUCUGUUCUUAUCAGUAUAAAUAAAUGAUGAAUCUAUGCCCAUGUUCAUGGACUGAAACGCUC
rnacentral:snRNA from 1 species